CAUCACACAAAACACCCAUAAAACGCAGAAGAAAAACAGUGAGAGAUGAAUGGAUAAUCAAUUACAUUUCAAUUCCACCUCUUGUUACUCUCUGACCACCACUUUAAUCAGUUACUGAAUAUACAAACUCACUGAUAUUAUUUUAAUGCACAGUUAUCAUUACUGAUGUCUGAUAUCAAACAAAACAGCUAAGAUUGUUGCUUAUUUUUUCCCUGUUAACAACCUGAUCUGUUGUAGAUUCAGUAAUAACUUCACAAUCUCCUCUAAAGUCCUGCAGGGACCACUCACAGAGCUCUUGAGAAAGGCUGCAGUUGCAGUUCAGUGUCCACUAGGAGAGUGUAGCUGUGCUGACAAACUUCUCCACGUGACUGUGUGAAAGUGAAUGAAUGUGGGCAGGGAGUUCAUGGUUAAAGAUUGAAAAACAGAGAGGACAGGGAGGAUCAGAUCAUAUUUCAUAUGUUUUGAUUGCAGUAGCAGUAAAUGAAGACAGAGUUAUGACUGUAAUGUAGAUUGCUCUGAUGUUUUUAUUCUAAAACCUUUGACCACAGUGGAAAUGAACGUCUUCUUGGUUGCAGUUCUUAUCUUCUCCAAUUUCUCUGUCUGUGUGAAAAUUCAACAGCUUCCAUUUUUAAUCAGUCGUGAAGGAGACAAGACUGUAACUUUGGAGUGUGAACAAGAUGAGGAUCAAUAUUACAACAUGUACUGGUACAGACAAAGCAGCAGUGGGGAAAAAAUACAGAUGGUAUCAUUUUCUGCUGGUCAAGGUUCAACAAACAUUGAAGCUCCUUUCAAUGACUCCAAGUACACCAUGACGCGGCCUGAGGUGCUUAAUUCCUCUCUGGUGAUACACUCUGCUGAAGCCGGAGACUCAGCUGUGUAUUACUGUGCCUCCAGUAUAGCACAGUGGUUCAGAAAGCCUCAACAGCUAAACAACAACCUCAAGAGAAAACCAAGAGGAGGGAUGAGUGACAAGGACCAAUGUGUUGAACUCUGAGAGUCAGGAUUUUGUUGUAGUGUGAGACAUGAUAGACAACUAACAUCAAUGUGACAUGAAAAUAAGGAUCGGACCAUUAAUUACAGAAAAAAAUAUGUUUAAAAAACAACAGCACAAUGAACAUCUAUUAAUUCAGCGAAGG